CUAACUUGCUAGAUGCUGACGAGCGGCGGACGGGUGAGUAACGCGUAGGAAUCUACCCAGUAGCGGGGGAUAAGCCAGAGAAAUUUGGUCUAAUACCGCAUACGCCCUUCGGGGGAAAGCAGGGGCUCUUCGGACCUUGCACUAUUGGAUGAGCCUGCGUGAGAUUAGCUAGUUGGUGAGGUAAUGGCUCACCAAGGCGACGAUCUCUAGCUGGUCUGAGAGGAUGAUCAGCCACACUGGGACUGAGACACGGCCCAGACUCCUACGGGAGGCAGCAGUGGGGAAUAUUGCACAAUGGGCGAAAGCCUGAUGCAGCCAUGCCGCGUGUGUGAAGAAGGCCUUAGGGUUGUAAAGCACUUUCAGUCGUGAGGAAAGGUGUGUGCUUAAUACGUACAUACUGUGACGUUAGCGACAGAAGAAGGACCGGCUAACUCCGUGCCAGCAGCCGCGGUAAUACGGAGGGUCCGAGCGUUAAUCGGAAUUACUGGGCGUAAAGCGCGCGUAGGUGGAUUGGUCAGUCAGAUGUGAAAGCCCAGGGCUCAACCUUGGAACUGCAUCUGAUACUGCUAGUCUAGAAUACAGUAGAGGGCAGUGGAAUUUCCUGUGUAGCGGUG
rnacentral:rRNA from 1 species